rnacentral:rRNA from 1 species
GUGGGGAAUAUUGGACAAUGGGCGAAAGCCUGAUCCAGCCAUGCCGCGUGUGUGAAGAAGGUCUUCGGAUUGUAAAGCACUUUAAGUUGGGAGGAAGGGCAGUAAGUUAAUACCUUGCUGUUUUGACGUUACCAACAGAAUAAGCACCGGCUAACUUCGUGCCAGCAGCCGCGGUAAUACGAAGGGUGCAAGCGUUAAUCGGAAUUACUGGGCGUAAAGCGCGCGUAGGUGGUUCAGCAAGUUGAAGGUGAAAUCCCCCGGCUCAACCUGGGAACUGCCUCAAAAACUACUGAGCUAGAGUACGGUAGAGGGUAGUGGAAUUUCCUGUGUAGCGGUGAAAUGCGUAGAUAUAGGAAGGAACACCGGUGGCGAAGGCGACUACCUGGACUGAUACUGACACUGAGGUGCGAAAGCGUGGGGAGCAAACAGGAUUAGAAACCCGGGUAGUCC